rnacentral:rRNA from 1 species
AACGUAGGAGACAAACGUUAUCCGGAGUUACUGGGCGUAAAGGGCGUGUAGGUGGUAUCGUAAGUCUGGCGUGAAAUUUCUCGGCUUAACCGAGGCAGGUCGUCGGAUACUGCGAGGCUAGAGGACGGUAGAGGCGUGUGGAAUUCCGGGUGUAGUGGUGAAAUGCGUAGAUAUCUGGAGGAACACCGGUGGCGAAGGCGGCAUCCUGGACCGACACUGACGCUGAGGAGCGAAAGCCAGGGGAGCAAACGGG